AAUAACCAAAGAUCACACCUGGAUCAAGAGUUGGAUUCGUGAUCAAACGAACAUCUCCACCACCUGGGGCCCAGGUGUCGUAGACGCCGCCAAAGAACAUGGCCUUAAAGACCAAAAGGAGGCAGCCAACGCCAAGAAGGAUCAGGUGAUAACCAAUGAUGUUGGUCAUCUGGUUUUUAUCGCGCCA
rnacentral:antisense_RNA from 1 species